UACUCGGACUUGGAGAACCACAUCUGCUGGAACGAACCAAGAGAUGCCAAUAUACUCCCGCCUAUCCAUACACUGAAUAACCACAGGACUGCUGGUUAGAAAGCUAGUGAGAAUGUGGUAUUAAAUUUGCAAGAAGAAAAGAACGAAGGAAAUUACAAGGAAAAAUAGAAAAAGAAAAGAACUUGUCAGCUGCAACAGAAUGACAGCUAAUAAACUCAAGAUGCUUCCAAAUAAAGGGAAGUAACUUAUCACUUAGGUUAUCCAUCUUUAUCACCAAGUGUGGGUACGUUCAAUUUAAGGAUUCACAUGCUAGAGUACCCUCAUGAGAACCUAACACCUUAAACGAUAAUCAUGAUUUAACUUCAAGCUUGUGGGAAUAAAUUAGAAUUGAACUGUCAAGCUUACACUGUUAUUCCACCCAAUGGAAGUCCAAUUCAAACUCAACUAAACUAAAUUUUUAUCCCAAAAAUU
rnacentral:misc_RNA from 1 species